rnacentral:rRNA from 1 species
GAUGAACGCUGGCGGCGUGCUUAACACAUGCAAGUCGAACGGAAAGGCUCCUGCUUGCAGGGGUACUCGAGUGGCGAACUGGUGAGUAACACGUGGGUGAUCUGCCCUGCACUUCGGGAUAAGCCUGGGAAACUGGGUCUAAUACCGGAUAGGACGAUGGUUUGGAUGCCAUUGUGGAAAGUUUUUCGGGGUGGGAUGAGCUCGCGGCCUAUCAGCUUGUUGGUGGGGUAAUGGCCUACCAAGGCGUCGACGGGUAGCCGGCCUGAGAGGGUGUACGGCCACAUUGGGACUGAGAUACGGCCCAGACUCCUACGGGAGGCAGGAGUGGGGAAUAUUGCACAAUGGGCGCAAGCCUGAUGCAGCGACGCCGGGUGGGGGAUGACGGCCUUCGGGUUGUAAACUCCUUUCGCUAGGGACGAAGCGCAAGUGACGGUACCUGGAGAAGAAGCACCGGCUAACUACGUG